rnacentral:tRNA from 1 species
UUAGGAAAUAAUAUAUAUAUUUUUAGUAUAUUUUGUUUACACCAAAAAAGAGAAGUUUAUCUUUCCUGAA